rnacentral:rRNA from 1 species
AUUGAACGCUGGCGGCAGGCCUAACACAUGCAAGUCGAACGAGUGGCGGACGGGUGAGUAAUGUCUGGGAAACUGCCAGAUGGAGGGGGAUAACUACUGGACACGGUAGCUAAUACCGCAUACCAUCGGAUGUGCCCAGAUGGGAUUAGCUAGUAGGUGGGGUAACGGCUCACCUAGGCGACGAUCCCUAGCUGGUCUGAGAGGAGGAACAGCCCCACUGGAACUUAGACACGGUGCAGACUCCUACGGUAGGCAUCAGUGGGGAAUAUUGCACAAUGGGCGCAAGCCUGAUGCAGCCAUGCCGGGUGUAUGAAGAAGGCUUUCGGGUUGUAAAGUACUUUCAGCCAUGACGCGGUAGUGGCAGAAGAAGCACCGGCUAACUACGUGCCAGCAGCCGCGGUAAUAC